UCCCAUGUGGUCUAGUGGUUAGGAUUUCUGGUUUUCACCCAGGCGGCCCAGGUUCGAUUCCCGGCAUGGGAA
rnacentral:tRNA from 1 species